UCCCUGGUGUACUAGUGGCUAGCAUGCAGCGCUCUCACUGCCGUGGCCUGGGUUCGAUUCACAGUCAGUAAA